GCCGGGUGUGGUGGCGCAUGCCUGUAAUCCCAGCUACCCAGGAGGCUGAGGCAGGAGAAUCACUUGAACCCAGGAGGCUGAGGUUGCAGUGAGCCAAGAUCACACCACUGCACUCCAGCCUGGGUGACAGAGUGAGACUCCAUCUCAA
ensembl:misc_RNA Metazoa_SRP Metazoan signal recognition particle RNA